AUUGAACGCUGGCGGCAUGCUUUACACAUGCAAGUCGAACGGCAGCACGGACUUCGGUCUGGUGGCGAGUGGCGAACGGGUGAGUAAUACAUCGGAACGUGCCCAGUUGUGGGGGAUAACUACUCGAAAGAGUAGCUAAUACCGCAUGAGAACUGAGGUUGAAAGCAGGGGAUCGUAAGACCUUGCGCAACUGGAGCGGCCGAUGGCAGAUUAGGUAGUUGGUGGGAUAAAAGCUUACCAAGCCGACGAUCUGUAGCUGGUCUGAGAGGACGACCAGCCCAACUGGGGCUGGAGCACGGCCCAGACUACUACGGGAGGCAGCAGUGGGGAAUUUUGGACAAUGGGCGAAGGCCUGAUCCAGCAAUGCCGCGUGCAGGAUGAAGGCCUUCGGGUUGUAAACUGCUUUUGUACGGAACGAAAAGCUUCGGGUUAAUACCCUGGAGUCAUGACGGUACCGUAAGAAUAAGCACCGGCUAACUACGUGCCAGCAGCCGCCGUAAUAC
rnacentral:rRNA from 1 species